UGGGGAAUAUUGCACAAUGGACGGAAGUCUGAUGCAGCGACGCCGCGUGGGGGAUGAAGGCUUUCGGGUUGUAAACUCCUUUCAGUACAGAAGAAGCUUUAUUGUGACGGUAUGUGCAGAAGAAGCGCCGGCUAACUACGUGCCAGCAGCCGCGGUAAUACGUAGGGCGCGAGCGUUGUCCGGAAUUAUUGGGCGUAAAGAGCUCGUAGGCGGUUUGUCGCGUCUGCUGUGAAAGACCGGGGCUUAACUCCGGGGCUGCAGUUGGUACGGGCAGGCUGGAGUGCGGUAGGGGUAACCGGAAUUCCUGGUGUAGCGAUGGAAUGCGCAGAUAUCAGGAGGAACACCGCUGGCGAAGGCAGGUUACUGGGCCGUUACUGACGCUGAGGAGCGAAAGCAUGGGGAGCGAACAGG
rnacentral:rRNA from 1 species